GACGAACGCUGGCGGCGUGCUUAACACAUGCCAGUCGAACGGAAAGGCCCUGCUUUUGUGGGGUGCUCGAGUGGCGAACGGGUGAGUAACACGUGAGUAACCUGCCCUUGACUUUGGGAUAACUUCAGGAAACUGGGGCUAAUACCGGAUAGGAGCUCCUGCUGCAUGGUGGGGGUUGGAAAGUUUCGGCGGUUGGGGAUGGACUCGCGGCUUAUCAGCUUGUUGGUGGGGUAGUGGCUUACCAAGGCUUUGACGGGUAGCCGGCCUGAGAGGGUGGCCGGCCACAUUGGGACUGAGAGACGGCCCAGACUCCUACGGGAGGCAGCAGUGGGGAAUAUUGCACAAUGGGCGGAAGCCUGAUGCAGCAACGCCGCGUGCGGGAUAACGGCUUUCGGGUUGUAAACCGCUUUCGCCUGUGACGAAGCGGGAGUGACGGUAAUGGGUAAAGAAGCACCGGCUAACUACGUG
rnacentral:rRNA from 1 species